rnacentral:rRNA from 1 species
GACGAACGCUGGCGGCGGGCUUAACACAUGCAAGUCGAACGGACAGUCCCUGCUUUUUUGCGGUGCUCGGGUUGCGAACGGGGGAGUUGCACUUGGGUAACCUGCCCCUGAGGUUGGGUUAUCUUCAGGAAGCUUGGGCUAAUACCGGGUAGGAUCUCCUGCUGCUUGGUGGGGGUUGGAAAGUUUAGGCGGUUGGGGAUGGACUCGCGGCCUAUCAGCUUGGUGGUGGGGUAGUGGAUUACCAAGGCUUUGCCGGGUAGCCGGCCUGAGAGGGUGACCGGCCACAUCGGGACUGGGCUGCGGCACAGACUAGUACGGGAGGCAGCAGUGGGGAAUAUUGCACAAUGGGAGGAAGGAUGAUGCAGCAACGCCGCGUGGGGGAUGACGGCAUGCGGGUUGUAAACCGAUUUCGUCUGUGACGAAGCGUGAGUGACGGUAAUGGGUAAAGAAGCACCGGCUAACUACGUG